UGUCCCCUUCCCCUUCCUGGGCCCCUCCUUCGGGCUGCAUGGCCCAGUCUGGUGUCUAAUGCCAGGCUGGGGCAAACAAGAGCUGGCUCACUCUCUCGCCUCAAGGGAGGCCCUCCCCUGGCCCGUCUGCAAAGGGCCAGUUUCGGCCGCCCAGGCAUUCAGUUACCUUCAUUAGAAUGGGCCCCAGCAAGCUGGCCGCCUCUGACCGCCACUGAGGGCAGGGCUGAUUCUAUCACAGCAGGGGUGGAAGAAAAGCAAGAGUGUAAAAGAGCUGCCUUUGCCUGGCUGCUGAGAUGGAGAGAGGGCGGGAGGGUGCGAUGUGCCCUUGCCCUUCAUAGGCUUCAACAGCCUGGCUCAGUGCAGAGGAAUCUGAGGUGAGAAAACAACAGCACUGAUGGGUGAAGAAAUGUAUCCAGGUCAUACAACUAGAAGUGGUAGACACAGAAUUUGGUCCCCAGACUCCUGAGUCCAGGGUCCGUGGGCUGCAUAGAGAUGAGACAUCCUCUCUGCCCCCUUCACCUGAGACCUGCUACUGUCAGGUGCGCCAGGUAAGUGAUGCUAUAAAGCAGACUAGUCAGGGGCUGGCUGAGUGGUGAAUUCAGAUGCAGGACUGGAGAGGAGAGGCCCAGAGUACAGGCCUGGGCUUUGGGACCAAAGGGAAGAGUCCACAGCAGUUCUAGAACUUUGGUCAGGUGAGCUUGCUAAGGAUGCAGAUUCCUAGGUGUAUCCCAGAUCCUGAGCUGGUCCAUGGGGCCCAGGAACCACCUUAGCAUGGACACACCAGCUGAGGGACAAGGAUGGUAGGCACCACUCUCAAUUCCUUCCUGGCGAGAGCAGUCAGAGGAGCCAGGGCUAAGACUUGGACCUGAAGGAAAGAGCCAGGUUCUGGUACAGCCCUAAGGCAGGCUUGGGGAAUCCUGGGCCUCUGUAACCUGUCUCCCUAUAUCUGAGAUGGAAGGGUUAAAAUAAAGAGUCCCGUCCACUGCCUCCAUCCUCAGGUCCUGGCUGAGACCUCCUCACUCCCUGUCUGCUCCCUGUAACCAGGCAGCAGUGCUGAUCUCUCUCUUUGAUUAUGGGCUCCCAGAGGGAGGAAUAAAAAUAAAAUAGCCAUGACAGGAACAGCUGCUCUGUCAGGAGUGGGCCCACGGGGUGGGAGGGGUGCCACCAACUAUGGCUGGCAUGGCCAACUUCUGCUGCUGUCUCAGCCUAAGAAGGCUGGGAAUACCCCACACCAUGACGCAGGUCUCCUCCCAGCCAGACUGAAGCACACACGUGGAUUACCAUGGAGCCCGUGGGUGGGUCUGGCAGGAGAGGAAUGCAUGGGAGAAAAGAAAGUGCCUCACUGGAGCUUUCCCGGGACUCCUAACGCUUCCCUGCCAAUUUCCAAACGGAUGCUUCUGGCCCUCCUAAUGUUCACCCAUCCGUGCAGCUGGCCACGCAUUAAAGCCACCUGGGGAGUCUUUCAAACACCCAAGGACUAGGUCAAACUACAGACCAAUUAAGUCAGGACCUGGGUCACAGAAUUUUUUAAGGCUCCUCAUGUGAUUCCAGCACGUGGCCAAGGUCCAGACCCAGGACGUGACAUACAAACAAAUGUGCCUGGUCCUAACUUUAAUGAGCAUGUGAAUGAAUCACCUGGGAUAUUUUAAAAUGCAGAUUCUGAUUCUGUGGGAGUGUGUUUAGCUUCUCAUUCUGCUUUUUGAAUCCACUCCCAGGCCUUCCAUGGCUGACACAUGCAUGGGGAUGUGAGCCACAUGAGGAAUGGCAAGGACCUUGAAGGUCCCUAACACGAUGAGCUGAAAGGGGAGAAAUGGUUCCCCGGACAAGCCUGUGUGCAAAUGCACAUAAUCUCCUUGUCCGCCUGACAGUGCCAAGGGGUUUGGCCCAACAGAGCUCUGAGAAGUCCUGCACUGUGGAAACCCACGGAGUUCUGUCUGGCCAUAGAAGUACCAGCAGGCCCCCCAAGUGCUAGCAAGAGCCCAUGCCACACUGUGGUCCUUAGCUAUGCAAUUUGGGGAUUGGCCAAGGGUCAUUGGGUGGAUGGAGGUGUGGACGGUGGAUGAUGUCUGAGCCAAAGGCUAGGCCUGGUCUUGCGGGGGGAGGGCUUUGCUACCUGGCCAGUGUAGCAGGGGUCUGUCUGCUUCAUGCUUUGGACUCAAGCCUUGCUGUUCUGCCCCUGCACUGAUGUUAAAACUGAUGGUUUUUCCUUUUCUCUUCUCACUCUCCUCCUCCCUAACCUUGGGGGGGAGGGGAAGAAAGAUCACCCUUCCUCCCAAACUAGACCAAGUUAUCUGUCCUUAAGUAAACACACACCACAGGAAUGAAGUAAUUCAGACUUCAGAGAUGGCGCCAGAAGAUCUAAGAAACAGCUAUCUCUCAGGGCCACAAGUGAAUUACGACCCCUGACACAGCACACCUGGAAUGUAGCCUUUGCAUCAUUUCUUUAAAAGCCCUCUGUUCCCCCUGAUGGUCAGAAUCACAGACUCUGGGACAAGAGGCUCCCAUGUUUCACUUUGGCUAGCAAAGCAAUAAAACUCCUUUUCCUUUUUCUCAAAA